rnacentral:misc_RNA from 1 species
CUGGUCCUUGUCACCAUGAAGAGCUGCAACCUUAAAACCUUUCUGCAAAAGUUGAGAUUCCACCUCAUCCACUGUGGCUUUUUUAGAAGCAAAUACCAAUACAUCACCAUCAUCGAUCAUUUCAGGUAACUUCUCAAGAAGCCAAGGCAACUUCUCCAAAUCAGAAGGAAGAACAUGAACAACCUGUGUGAUAUCUUCGUUAG